UAACAAAGGGAAGCGAAGCCGCGAGGUGGAGCAAAACCCAAAAAAAGACAGUCUCAGUUCGGAUUGAAGGCUGAAAUUCGCCUUCAUGAAGCCGGAAUUGCUAGUAAUGGCAGGUCAGCAUACUGCCGUGAAUACGUUCCCGGGCCUUGUACACACCGCCCGUCACACCAUGAGGGUUGGGGAUACCCGAAGCCUGUGAGCUAACUUUUAGAGGCAGCAGUCGAAGGUAGAAUCAAUGAUUGGGGUGAAGUCGUAACAAGGUACC
rnacentral:rRNA from 1 species